AAAUGUGUUUGCUUUUGUGCCCUUGUGGGAAAAAGGUGCCUUGGCACCUGCUUUGAGCUGCUUGAUUUCUGUGGCAGUUUCCUUAAGGAUGUAAUGGUUCUGCCUUUGUGGGGAUGGUUGGAGAACUGAAAGCAGCUGUGCUAAACAAGGGAAAGCUGUGAAUAAAUAGCCUGUGCUUAUGAGAAUAUUUCCCCUGCUGCUCCACCCCAUCCUGCUGCACGCUGCAAAGGCACGGCUUGCCAGGGCGAGGCACAGUGGGUGGCUUCAAUAUGCUUGCUCUUUCUCCAAAAAUUAGGCAGCUGUUUCCCCCUGAGUUGCUGUGGGCUCUGGCAAUGGGCCCAGCUGCCAUGGCAAAGGGCAGGCCUGCCCAGGGAGUGCUGCACAUCACUCCGAGUCUGGUCCCAUCUCCAACCCGCUGCUGGACCGUGCUGUGCGGGAGGCAGGAAGCUGGACAGCACUCUUAAAGUGCGUCUGUGCCUGCCUGAAGAUGCUGCUUUAUAUCCUGAGGAACAUGAACUUUUUUCAUACUGAGCUUUUGAAAUAUCUUCUGUCCUGCUCCUUUCUUUUUGUGCACAAAAUUCAGGAAAGCAUCCACUGCUGUGGACUUCAGACCAGAGAUUGUCAGCCUUUGCAGCAUGCCUGCUGGUUUCCCUUGUGUGGCUGUGCCCAGAUGUCUCUGACAGCAGACAGUCCAAGCUUUUAAACCUCUCUGCACCCCCCUGACCCCAUCCAGAGCUGCCUGGGGACCUGUUCUCCCUGUGCAGAUGCAGCUGGAGUGGCGCUGUAGGAGACAGAGCCACUGAACAGUGCCACGUUUGCUGCACGUGCUGCACCUCCUCCCCAGGGCCUGUGGUUCAGCAAAAAGCACUCCACAAAGGAUCAGAAAUGCAGCUGUCAGAAUGUGGUCCCAAGCCUUGCAAGGAAUGACAGCAUGUGUUACCAUGGUGCAAGCCCUGCGGGUUUUAGGGGAUUGGGGAAAUGCCGUUCAGGAACAGUUCCCUUCUGCCCGGAUAUUUGCAGUAAUUCUUCCUCGUGUCUUUCUGCUGGAGGUUGUUGCUGACCUGAGUGUCCCUUUCUUGCUUUUCGGAGUCUCAACAUAAUGGCAGGUAGUUUCUUUAUGCUUUCAUGUAGUAAUGAAGAAGGUAAAAAUAAAAACCAAGCUUCAUUUCAAUGUUCAAUAUCCAAAUUACCAGCAAGAUGAUUCUGAUGCUCAUUUUAGUGCAGAUGCUCUGGCUGCAGUCUUUUUUUGCCAUGACCUGGGAGGACAGCAUGGGAGUUUUGGUUUCUGUACCUACUGACUCUUUUCACCUUGGGCAGUAAUAGAUGUUCCAAGCUCACACUCCCUUUCUGCUUGCAGGAAGUCAUCUUUUAUAUUUUAAUUCUGCUGUGGCAUUUAUCAUUCCAUUCAGGGACACUGGGAUACGCUGUAGCAAUUCACUCCCACCUUGGUGGCAGUCAAUGACAUUAAAAGUUAAAAAAAGAAGCCUGCUUACUUUGUGCCUGCUGUAUAAAGGGAUGAGUAUUGCAGUGCCCAAGGCUGGUGAUGCAGGGGCAGGGAAUCAGGGGAUGCUCUGUGAGAUCUUCCCUCUCUCUGUUGGAACAUCCCCAGUGAAACUCAAGGGUUUAAAAGCUUCACUUCUCCAUGCUGGCACAGAAGCCUGAGAUGAGAGGAGUGAUUGCACCAGCUGGGAGCAGCCACCUGGGGUAGCUUGGAUAGUGCAGAGUCCACGACAUGGUCUCCUUUGGUCCAGUUUGGGGGCACUCUGGCUGCUGUAGGAGCCCUGGCCCCUACACAGGCUGCCUUUCUCUGGAAGGUGCUAUUUCAGCACUCGUUUGGCCACUGCUGUUCUGCUCUGGUUAUUGCCUUUAACUUAAAGAAAGGAAUCUGAGACCAAAACCACUUGUUUGAGGUUGCCCCAGAAGAUGAGCAGCACUUGCUGCAGGCACUGGGCCACCAGCACUAUGGAACACUUGCAUGGCUGGGUGGCUUGCUUAAAAUAUUUGAUGUUCUGAGGAGGAAGCUCCUGUGAGACUCCAGCUUGGACCUGCCUUGCAGUGCAGUGACACAGCCCUUGGAGCAGAGCUAACCUGGCUCUAGCAGACCUGAGUCAUAUUCCAAUUUCCCCUACAGUGGCGUUUUAACGGCUCCUUUCCUAUUUUCUUUUUUUUUUUUUUUCUUAUUUUUUUUUAUUUUGGACUCUGGGAAGGAAAUAAAUUUCUGAGAGGCAACCUUGCAGAAGCCCCUCUUUCUGUGCUGCUGUGGCUGGAUAUCAAGCAUCAUGUAGUAUGAUAAAAGACUGGUUAUGAGAAAGCUGCAGUGUUGUUUAUCUUUCUGCUGUAGAGAGUCACAGGAUUAACUCUGUAAUCUCUCUUACAAGAGCUGUGCGCAUUCAGUGUGAAUCAGGGGAGCUGCAUGAAGUAAAUGCUUUUUUUUGCCCUGAGAUUAGACUGGCUGUUGAUUUGGCCCAUGAAUCCAGGCUAAUGCUGUUGUGCUCUCAGUAGUUCUCAAUGGUUUAAUUUCUCUCUGGAGUGUAGUUUGUAGACAAAAGUGUAAUUUUCUUACUGGACAGCUUUGAAAGCUGAUGAGUAUCUUACCCAUUAGUAUUACAAUGUUCAGUUUUGCUGUUUUUUUUGGUUUUUUUUUUUAAGAAUGAGAACUGAUCUCCAUCAGUGACUAGACAUUUAUUUAUCCUGUGCACAUAAGAGGAAAUCAAACCAUCCAAGGCUUUGCUACACUUGCCAUGCAUCCUGAGGCAUACACUUAGGAACUUUUUUCCCUAUUGCCCUUAUCAAAGGGUAUCAUGCAAGGCAUCAGGCUGCUUGAAGUGUUUAAUGUGAACAAGGAGUUUUCUGGGGGAGUAUGAUAACCAGUGCAGUAAUCUGACAUUUGCAGAUAAUGCCUGAGAACUUGCUCUUUGGCCCUUCCAGGAGGAUGCAGGAGCAUGGGAGGGAUGCCUAGUGUGAAAUCCUGAGCUGCUGUGCCUGCUUUGGGCCAGUCCCUUAAUGAGGCCUGCCCAAGUAGGAUCUUUAUCCAAAUGGGAAAAUUUAGUCCAGAAAAUAGAUUGCAAUGCAUCUGGUCUAUAGAGAGCAGGCAGCCAAUAAUGCAUUUCAGAGGGAGCUCAAAGAAACUUCCAUCAUCAUCAGUCAGGAGGGUUUUGGAAAACCGUCCCGUGGCUGUAGUGGCCAAGUGCCUUGUACACCUUCAGGAUGGUGCUGGACACCUUUGCUUGCUGAAGGAGGGAUGCUCUUCUCUGCCUCUCCUGCAGUUUAGUCUGUGCCCAAACACAGUCCUGCUCUGCACUGCAGCCAGCACAGUGCAAAUGCUCAGUGUAAAUUCCUCUGCUUUUAGUGCUGUGGAAUUGGGUAGGCAAACAGGGAGGAGAGGACGAGCCCAGCCAUGAGGAGCCUGCGCUUAAACUGAAGUGGUACAAAGGGAGAACCACAGGGUUUUCACUUCACGUGCCACAGGCUGCUUGAUUUUGCUGUUAUGUGAGUUAGUGACAAAAUUUGCACCACUUUGAAUAGAGCAGGACAAGGUUACUGUGAGUCUGUGUGUGAUGUCUCAGUUCUCACUUCCUUGGGUAGUGAAAACAAGCCCUGAGCCCUUUGAAACUGAAUGGGGUGCUGAACCUGAAGGCUGAAAUGUGGGGCAGGUGGGAGAGGCUGUAAUUUUUGGGUGUCCUUCACAUGCUGCUCUAAAAAAGCCACACAAACAAACAAACCAACAAAAGCUGUCUACGCACAGAAAGUAGCCCUAUUUCUUCUUUUAAAAAAUGUAUACAGUAGCAAAGUCUUUCAAUUCCAGCUGAGGAGGAAAGUGGCUGCUAAGACUGAUGCUCCUGAAUGUGCACAGGCAGAAGAGCUCCUGGAAUUGGAUGGCAGAAAGCUUGAUGCCAUCAGGUGGACUUGUGCCUGCUGAAGAUUCACCUUUCUAGAAAUGCUUUUCCCCACUGCUCUGCACCCUCUGUCAGGCCAUGUUGAAAACAUCCACGAGAGCAGACAAGCUGUGGUUGUGCAUGCAGAUCCUCCAUGUCAGCACCACAUUUUCAUCAGAAGUGGGAGAUGUGGGAAUGGUGCCACUGCUGAGCCAAAGGGCUGAUGGGCAGAGAGGAAAUGUGCCAGACAAGCAGGAUGAGAGGAAAUUGUUAGACUGGAUAUUAAGAAAUUAUUUUUCAUGGAAAAGGUUGUCAACUACCAGAACAGGAUGCCCAGGGAAGUGGUGGAGUCUGCAUCUCUGGAGGUAUUUAAAAGUGAUGUAGAUGUGGCACUCAGGGACAUGGUUUAGUGGUGGGCUUGGCAGUGCUGGGUUAGUGGUUGGACUCGGUGAUCUUACAGGUCUUUCCCCACCUUAAUGAUUCUGGAAUUCUGUGAUUCUCUGAAAGACCUCCUGUGAGCAGCAGUGUCACCCUGAACCCCAGGCUCCUGUUGGGCAAAGACAAGGCCUUUAAAACCCUUUAAUAAAAUUAUAUUC